AGACGGGUGAGUAACAUGUAGGUAUCUGCCCUUUGGCCUGGAAUAACACGAGGAAACUUGUGCUAAUACCGGAUAAGUCUUUACGGAGAAAGCUUUAUGCACCAUUGGAUGAGCCUGCACUUGAUUAGUUUGUUGGUGGGGUAAUGGCCUACCAAGACUGUGAUCAAUAGCUGAUUUGAGAGGAUGAUCAGCCACAUUGGGACUGAGACACGGCCCAAACUCCUACGGGAGGCAGCAGUGGGGAAUCUUGCACAAUGGAGGAAACUCUGAUGCAGUGAUGCCGCGUGAGUGAAGAAUGCUUUUGGGUUGUAAAGCUCGUUCGUCGGGAAGAAAAUGACUGU
rnacentral:rRNA from 1 species